CAUGCCUUCCUCGACAAAAUGAUCAAAUGGAGUCUAAACCAAUGGCUAGUGAUAUCUCUUGUCGAUAUGAUGAGCUGAUUGGCAACACAAUUUGCAGAGCAUCUGGUAGCAUAACUAGAAUAUCAACUCCUGGCCUCAAAUUGAAUUACACUUCUGCUCAAGCACUGUGUAGCAGGCACAAUGGUACAAUCCUCUCUGAAGCGUCGUUCCACGCUUUAUGCUCGGUUGGUUUAACCAACAUACACACCAUUGCAUGGAGAGGAUUGCCAAUUGAAGGAUCUUUAUUACUUGACUCCAACGACAAUUUCGCGGGCCUAGCGCAGCUUUUGCGUGUUGUGUGUGAAAUACCGCUGUACUGUAACGUACCUGUCAUUGCCAAUGGCACUGCUGACAGAACCGUGGUCCAAUUCACGCACAAUGUUACCUUUUCUUGCCAAGAGGGUCAUUGGAUUGUGGGUGAUGCCACAUCAAAUUGCACGGCUGAUGGAAAUCUCACUUCAGUGCCCUACU